rnacentral:pre_miRNA from 1 species
UCUUGUAGAUGAGCAAAGAAAGCAGUUUCUUGAGACAGAAACUACUCUUGGUGAAGAUGCUGUGAA